UGCGCAAUGGGCGAAAGCCUGACCCAGCCACGCCGCGUGAGUGAUGAAGGCCUUCGGGUUGUAAAGCUCUUUGGAGGGGGACGAAUAAGGGUUGGCUAACAUCCAGCUCGAUGACCGUACCCCUUUAACAAGCCCCGGGCUAACUCUGUGCCAGC
rnacentral:rRNA from 1 species